GAGCAUGUGGUUUAAUUCGACGAUAAGCGAGGAACCUUACCAAGGCUUGACAUCUAGCUGCAAGUCCCUGGAAACAGGGACUUCCUUCGAGGGUGCUAGACAGGUGCUGCAUGGUUGCCGUCAGCUCGUGUCGUGAGAUGUACGGUUAAGUCCGAUAACGAGCGCAACCCCUGCCCUCAUUUAUACUUUAUGGGGGGACCGCCAUGUUUAACAUGGAGGAAGGUGGGGAUGACGUCAAAUCAGCAUGGCCCUUAUGCCUUGGGCGACACACAUGCUACAAUGGCCAGUACAAAGGGUUGCCAAACCGAAAGGUGGAGCUAAUCCCAUCAAAACUGGUCUCAGUUCGGAUUGAGGU
rnacentral:rRNA from 1 species